UGUCAGCGCAAUUUUGUGGCGCACACCUUUUUUUUCUGUCAUACAGCCAUCCGCCCCCUUUGCAGUGGCAGUUUGUCAGGCUAUCUUGUUGUCCCGGCUCCUUCCUUCUGCCCCACCCCCUGAGGAUGUCUCCACCCGCUAUUUGGAGGCCACCGUACUGUUUUAGUGUCGUGUGAGGACAUACAGCAAGCUCUGCUGUGGAGUCCUGUGAGGUGAAACUGCUGAUUUUGCCUCCCUUGUUGUCUUCCUGGGCGGUCUUUCCUUUCCUCCGCCUUCCAAACUCAUGUUGGUUUGGAAAGAAGGCUGAAGAAAUGCGGGGGGAAACGCCUUCAAACCAGUUCUCAACCUUGUGCAGUAAACUUGAAAAGAAAGGAAGUUUUGAUGUGUAAUCCCUGGAGUCAAGAAUCAAGAGAAGCCUCCAACUGACGGAAGAGCGAUCUUCAGCCAUCCAGAUGUGGAUGAACUAUUGGACCCAUCACAUUUCACCAUUAGAAAGAGUGACCAAGUUUGAUGGGAAUUGGAGCCCAGCAACAUCUAGAACGCCACGCUAUAUUCUACAGCCAGUCAAAAAGAGAGUCAGAGGUGGAGUCCAGUACAUUUGGGUAGGUCCAAAUGUGAAGUCCAGUGUUUUGGCACCUAGUACAUCUAUGAGGCCACACACAGCAAAAAAAAAAAAAAAAAGUCUAAUGGAAGCUGUUGCAUAGAGGAAAAGAUAACAGAGUUCAUUCCAGGACGACACCAUCACAGAGUGAAAUUUCCUAAACUUAAUCUUGGGAAUUAAUCUUGAUUCCCUAUCUGCUUAUAUCAAGUUGCUCCGUGGUUUUUAUUUUCAAGUUUUCAAGUUUUCUUGAACCAUUUGUGCCUUUAUUUCCCCUGCCAUGCCAUUCCCAUGAUGCUGCUUGAUGCUGAUUGCUUCCGCCUUCUGGAGCAGAGGUGUAUGUGCCUGCAGAAAUAAAUUGGCAAAUGAAUGAA